rnacentral:rRNA from 1 species
UACGGGAGGCAGCAGUGAGGAAUAUUGGUCAAUGGACGCAAGUCUGAACCAGCCACGUCGCGUGAAGGAAGACGGCCCUACGGGUUGUAAACUUCUUUUAUACGGGAAUAAAGUGCCCCACGUGUGGGGUUUUGCAUGUACCGUAUGAAUAAGGAUCGGCUAACUCCGUGCCAGCAGCCGCGGUAAUACGGAGGAUCCGAGCGUUAUCCGGAUUUAUUGGGUUUAAAGGGUGCUCAGGGGGGGUAUUAAGUCGGCGGUGAAAUUUUGCAGCUCAACUGUAAAAGUGCCUUCGAAACUGGUAUCCUUGAGUGUGGAUGAGGUAGGCGGAAUUUGUGGUGUAGCGGUGAAAUGCAUAGAUAUCACGAGGAACUCCGAUUGCGCAGGCAGCUUACUAAACCAUAACUGACGCUCAAGCACGAAGGCGUGGGGAUCAAACAGGAUUAGAUACCCUGGUAGUCCACGCAGUAAACGAUGAUUACUGGCUGUUUGCGAUAUACAGUAAGCGGCUGAGCGAAAGCGUUAAGUAAUCCACCUGGGGAGUACGUUCGCAAGAAUGAAACUCAAAGGAAUUGACGG